UGCCGCUUCGCCUCAGAGGAAAUAGCGAGCAGCGCCUGCAGGGAAGAGUUCUAAUUAGCAGCUUCGCUUCGCUUUAAUCGGCCAAGGCGGCGUGCGAAGGCGUAUUCCCCCUCUACGUCUGUCCGCACAACUGCCCUGCGAGGUAGGCCAGGUUGAGAGAUUUUGUCGUCUUCAUUCCCUGCCGUGUAGUUAUCUCUUCAGACGCCACAGCAUGGCAACCCCCUUCCGGAGGGAUACGGAUUUUAAACAGUGUGUGGGUUUAUUUCACUGUCAUAUAUCUCAUCUAGACAUAGUGCAAGUUGCUGAAAUGUGACCUAGUUGUAGAGUUCUCUCUUAUAACGAUUAGUGAUAAAGUUGUUUUUUUUUUUAAUUAUUAUUAUUAUUAUUAUUAUUAUUUAUAUAACGUAGGAAUGAAUAACCCCUGGCACAGGUCUGAUGCAGCACUCCCAGGAUUUUUUUUCCUGCACCCCAUAAGAUAAGACCCCACAGAUCUUGGUGGCAAAUACAUUGCACCAGGUUGGGCAGAUCAAACCUCUCCACCAAGCCCAGCACCCCAAUGUAAGUCCAUGAUCAUCAGACUGAUCAUUUGAUGGCCAGGAUGAAGUAACAACCCUUCACUUGGAUAAACUGAGGAGCUGUGUAAGAGUGUUAAAUGGCAACACCCAACCAGCAUGAGAAAUAUGGAGGUUUGGCCAAUGGGGAAUAUGGUAAUCGUGUGUGUUUGUAGAUACAUAUUUCUAGUAAUCAGAUAAGAGGGCAGACAAAGCAAAGUACUUUCCACAACACAUUGAAAAUUAACUUUGAAAUUCACUACCACAAGAUGAUUUGACAAGGGGAUUAGAAAAAUUCGUGGAGGAUAAGGCUACUAGCCACAAUGGCUGCCUCCACUGAUGGAGACAAUAUGCCUCUGAAUACCAAUGGCUAGUAAUCACAAGCAGGAAAAGCGCUGACUAUUGCAUUCAGGUUCUGCUUGUGGGUUUCCUAUAGGCACCUUGGCAGCCACUGUGAACCGAAUGCUGGACUAGAUGGCCCAAGGGCUUGAUCCAGCCAGGACUUUUGUUUUUUAUAUACAUGUUUUUAUUCAUUUUUAGGUCAACAGAAUUAUACAACCAACAAAGAACAUUACAACAUAUUAGUCGACACAACAUGCUACAAGAAUAAAAGUUAUGAAUGUUCCAUAUAUCUGUAUUGGCUUAAUUCAAGAAACC